AGAGUUUGAUCAUGGCUCAGGAUGAACGCUGGGGGCGUGCCUAACACAUGCAAGUCGAGCGAUUUAUUUCGGUAAAGAGCGGCGGACGGGUGAGUAACGCGUGGGUAACCUGCCCUGUACACACGGAUAACAUACCGAAAGGUAUGCUAAUACGAGAUAAUAUGUUUUUAUCGCAUGGUAGAAGUAUCAAAGCUUUUGCGGUACAGGAUGGACCCGCGUCUGAUUAGCUAGUUGGUAAGGUAACGGCUUACCAAGGCGACGAUCAGUAGCCGACCUGAGAGGGUGAUCGGCCACAUUGGAACUGAGACACGGUCCAAACUCCUACGGGAGGCAGCAGUGGGGAAUAUUGCACAAUGGGCGAAAGCCUGAUGCAGCAACGCCGCGUGAGCGAUGAAGGCCUUCGGGUCGUAAAGCUCUGUCCUCAAGGAAGAUAAUGACGGUACUUGAGGAGGAAGCCCCGGCUAACUACGUGCCAGCAGCCGCGGUAAUACGUAGGGGGCUAGCGUUAUCCGG
rnacentral:rRNA from 1 species